UACGGGGGGAGCAAGCGUUGUUCGGAUUUACUGGGCGUAAAGGGCGCGUAGGCGGCCGUUCAAGUCAGAUGUGAAAGCCCUGGGCUUAACCUGGGAACUGCAUUUGAUACUGAUUGGCUUGAAUUCGGGAGAGGAUAGCGGAAUUCCCAGUGUAGAGGUGAAAUUCGUAGAUAUUGGGAAGAACACCGGUGGCGAAGGCGGCUAUCUGGACCGACAUUGACGCUGAGGCGCGAAAGCGUGGGGAGCAAACAGG
rnacentral:rRNA from 1 species